AUUGAACGCUGGCGGCAGGCCUAACACAUGCAAGUCGAGCGGAUGAAGGGAUCUUGCUCCUGGAUUCAGCGGCGGACGGGUGAGUAAUGCCUAGGAAUCUGCCUGGGAGUGGGGGAUAACGUCCGGAACCGGGCGCUAAUACCGCAUACGUCCUGAGGGAGAAAGUGGGGGAUCUUCGGACCUCACGCUAUCAGAUGAGCCUAGGUCGGAUUAGCUAGUUGGUGGGGUAAAGGCCUACCAAGGCGACGAUCCGUAACUGGUCUGAGAGGAUGAUCAGUCACACUGGAACUGAGACACGGUGCAAACUCCUACGGGAGGCAGCAGUGGGGAAUAUUGGAGAAUGGGCGGAAGCCUGAUCCAGCCAAGCCGCGUGUGUGAAGAAGGUCUUCGGAUUGUAAAGGACUUCAAGUUGGGAGGAAGGGCAGUAAGUUAAUACCUUGCUAUUUUGACGUUACCAACAGAAGAAGCACCGGCUAACUUCGUG
rnacentral:rRNA from 1 species